rnacentral:rRNA from 1 species
UAGUGGCGAACGGGUGAGUAACACGUGGGCAAUCUGCCCUUCACUCUGGGACAAGCCCUGGAAACGGGGUCUAAUACCGGAUACCACUCCUGCCCGCAUGGGUNGGGGUUGAAAGCUCCGGCGGUGAAGGAUGAGCCCGCGGCCUAUCAGCUUGUUGGUGGGGUAAUGGCCCACCAAGGCGACGACGGGUAGCCGGCCUGAGAGGGCGACCGGCCACACUGGGACUGAGACACGGCCCAGACUCCUACGGGAGGCAGCAGUGGGGAAUAUUGCACAAUGGGCGAAAGCCUGAUGCAGCGACGCCGCGUGAGGGAUGACGGCCUUCGGGUUGUAAACCUCUUUCAGCAGGGAAGAAGCGAAAGUGACGGUACCUGCAGAAGAAGCGCCGGCUAACUACGUGCCAGCAGCCGCGGUAAUACGUAGGGCGCAAGCGUUGUCCGGAAUUAUUGGGCGUAAAGAGCUCGUAGGCGGCUUGUCACGUCGGAUGUGAAAGCCCGAGGCUUAACCUCGGGUCUGCAUUCGAUACGGGCUAGCUAGAGUGUGG